GCAGAGACAGGCAGGAUUUCAAAGUGGCACAGGAGACGUUUGGGAGUUUUGCAUAUGCACCAGCAAGGCUCUUGGAUCAAGCCCUACAGCAGAAAGCAAGCAGUAUGUGGUGCCGUGGAAGCAAGAUGCUAAGAAAAUACACCUGCGAACAGUGAUGUAGCAAUGGCUGGAGCGAGACAGGAGAGGAGGAACAGGAGGAGGAGAGUGAGAGAAAUUGAUUGCCAACCUUAGUCCAGUGAAAACUUUGCUCCGAUAAUAUUUCCUUGGCCUGACCAAUCCAGAUCAACAAUCCUCUUCUUUGGUGAUUGAAUAAGGGAAGAAGCUCUGCUGGGUGACCUUGAACACAUCACUUCACUUCCUUGAGCUUCGAUAUACCUGCCAUCAAAUGGGAACAAUCAUGUUUACCUCCCUGAAUAGUCAAGAGGAUUAAAUUAAAUACUGAGGAAAUGUUUGUGCAUUCCAAAUCACCGGCUGAUACAAACACUCAAAGACAAGAGAGAAGGAAACAUAAACAAGGAAACAGAAACAUCCUGUCAACCUGCC